UACGGGGGGAGCAAGCGUUGUUCGGAUUUACUGGGCGUAAAGGGCGCGUAGGCGGCCACCGCAAGUCGGUUGUGAAAUCUCUGGGCUUAACCCAGAAAGGUCAACCGAUACUGCGGGGCUAGAGUGCAGAAGGGGCAACUGGAAUUCUCGGUGUAGCGGUGAAAUGCGUAGAUAUCAGGAGGAACACCGGUGGCGAAGGCGGAUCUCUGGGCCUGUUCUGACGCUGAGGAGCGAAAGCGUGGGGAGCGAACAGG
rnacentral:rRNA from 1 species